GCUCCAAUAGCGUAUAUUAAAGUUGUUGCAGUUAAAAAGCUCGUAGUUGGACUUCUGGAUGAUGUUGUCGGUCCGCGGCUAGUCCGUGUGUACUAGAUGGUAUCAUCCAUGCUCACGGGGGGUGCAUGUGCGUUAACGCGUCGUGUGUUGAUCCGUGUCAUUUACUGUGAAAAAUUUAGAGUGUUUAAAAGCAGGCAUAU
rnacentral:rRNA from 1 species